CUCCGACAAUUUUUUCAAUAUGUGCCACAAACACCACAUGUGCUUCAUAUUAUCCCAUUGGGAGCUUGGCCAAUCAUGCGCUGCAGCCACGUCCGAAAAAUCCACACAAAUGUAUUAGUAUCCUCGUUUGAUAUGAGCCCUCAUCCGAGGAGUGUCGACUGUCCAUGAUGGUUCACUACAACAAAAGGAGCAAAUGGCAUAUCAUACUUGUUUGUUAGUUAUGUGGUAUCAAAUGUGAUAACAUCGCCAAACUCUAUACAUGCCUACCAACUCCUAUUAUCUACCCAUAAAAUAUUCUUCGCAUGCGACUCUUCGUCCAAAUCAAUACUGAAGUAGAACCCUGAGCACCGUGCUUCUAUAGUCGAAAAGUCUGACAGCAUUGCUAGGGCUCAUCCUCUCCAAGUCUUAAUCUCCUAACUUGUUCAACAUAGUUUCAAUAAUGCUUCUCGACGCAGGUCAUAUUUUCAUAUCCAUCUACUUCAACAACUGCAGAAUUGAAACUUUUGUGCAACAGUAUUCCUGCAACGUCAUUCACUUCAAGCCGACAUUUCACCUGCACACUUAAUUCUCUGUUGCAUCGAUAUAGUCUAGACUUCGAAGGACUUAUUUUAUGAUUGUGAUCGAGAUGUACUUUGUUAAUUCGCUAUAUUCCAUUAAUAUCUAAACAUGCUGUCAAUCUGGCUUUACAUCCACUUUGCACCGUAGCUUGUGGCUUCAGAGAAGAGCUU
rnacentral:lncRNA from 1 species